rnacentral:rRNA from 1 species
CGAAGGUGGCAAGCGUUGUUCGGAUUCACUGGGCGUACAGGGUGUGUAGGCGGUUUGGUAAGCCUUUUGUGAAAUCUUCGGGCCUAACCCGGAAAGAGCAGAGGGGACUGCCAGGCUAGAGGACGGGAGAGGAGCGCGGAAUUCCCGGUGUAGCGGUGAAAUGCGUAGAGAUCGGGAGGAAGGCCGGUGGCGAAGGCGGCGCUCUGGAACGUAUCUGACGCUGAGACACGAAAGCGUGGGGAGCAAACAGGAUUAGAUACCCUGGUAGUCCACGCCCUAAACUAUGGAUACUAAGUGUCGGCGGGUUACCGCCGGUGCCGCAGCUAACGCAUUAAGUAUCCCGCCUGGGAAGUACGGCCGCAAGGUUG